GACGAACGCUGGCUGCGUGCUUAACACAUGCAAGUCGAACGAAGUGGCUAACGGGUGAGUAAUACGUGGGUAACCUGCCCUCCUUUUUGGGAUAAGCCUUGGAAACGGGGUCUAAUACCGAAUAAAGGGGGAUGGGUUCGCGGCCUAUCAGCUUGUUGGUGGGGUGAUGGCCUACCCAGGCGAUGAAGGGUAGCCGGGCUGAGAGGGUGACAGGCCACAUUGGGACUAAGGAAAGGCCCAGAGUCCUACGGGAGGCAGCAGUGGGGGAUAUUGCAAGAUGGGAGAAUGCCUGAUGAGGCGACGCCGAGUGGGGGAUGAAGGCUUUCGGAUUGUAAAACUCUUUCGCUAUCGAAUGAGUAGGUGGAGAAGAAGAGCCGGCUGACUACAUGCCAGCAGCCGCGGUAAUUC
rnacentral:rRNA from 1 species